GCAGUACCUAAUACAUAUAUUAUACACAUCAUUUAUUUGAUUUUCAACGGUGGCGAUACCGUUGCGGUACCGCUGCGUCAGUCUAUUUUAGUGCAAGCGCCGGUGUAUCACAAAUGUUUUAUGUCCUGUAUUAUACCUCAA